UAUUUAGUGGCGAUGGAUUUGAUUUCACCACCGAAUGCUGAAGCCCACAGUUUAACUCUGUGCAAAACAGACGAGAAAAGCAGUUCAUUAUCCCACAACACUAAAAAAAGAGCAAGGCAUUUCAGAUACAGGCGACAUCACUGCUUACAGCCAUUAUGGUUUACGGUUCAUCUCAGAGCACCUGCUCUAAGACAUUUAGCAUAGGUAUCUAUUCUACUCUCAUCUGUUCUUUUCUAAGUGUCUUUUUAGAAAACCUUCCUAAUUCAUGUAAAAUGUUUGGAUGUGCAUCCACUCAUGACAAUUCCAUCAUUAUGCAAAUAAGUCCGUUCAUGAGUUCCUCAGGUGACUCUUCCAGCAUGUAUUAGCUAUAGAAGAUGUACACAAAUGUACAAAAAAUGCACCAAAGCAGACUUGAUUUUUUUUAAUGGCCAUAAGUGUAACUGCAGGGUUUACAGGCUGAGUCUAAGAAAUCAGAGAAACAGUAAAUUCAAACUGUAGAUGCAGAAGUAAAAACGUACUAAAGGUCUAUUGUUUUCAGCAGCCCCUUCUGCAGCUACCUUAAACCUGAAACACUUUUGUGACAUCUAUUUGCAAGAAAUAAUGCAAAUAAUAAUAAUAAUAAUAAUAAUAAUAAUAAUAAUAAUAAUAAAGAAUUUAGGUUUUCGUUUGACUAACCCUUAUACCUAAUAGAGUGGCCAACGAUUGUAGAAAUAUUUCUCUAUGAUCUGUAUAUGAACUAUCUUAAAUCUUAAAGGUUGUGGGAUUUAAUGCUGUAUGUAACUGCAUUACACAGUACACAGGUGUGCCAGCUGCCUCGCGCCAGUUAAUUCCCGGGCACGCGAUCUGAUUUGAAUUUGAAUUUGAAUUUGAAUGUGUCGGUUAGACUCUAACGGUUAAAUACAGUAUCAACGGGUCAGCUGAAAGUGGCGUUUUUAAAUAGCGUAAUAUGACAUUUAAAACCCUAUUCUACAGAUACAAUAACAGUAAGCGAGAUGAAAUUCAGUUUCUUGCGUUAAUUAAUCAAUAUUAACGGUAGGUGUGUCGUUAGAUAACGUUUGCUGGUCGUUCUGUUCAGCUAGCUUUUAGCAUUAUCCUUAACUAGCCUGAAAACUGACUCGCAAAAGUAUUUAUUUGUUCUCAGUUUCAUCAUCAUCAUCGUUACAAGAGGAAACCAUCAGGAAACUUUACUGGAGGUCUUAAGUCCAUCUGCAUGUAAUGAACCCAUUUUCUCUUCUAAGUGAUCAUGGUCACCCUUCAGCACAAGCAGAUCCAUCAGCCACUGAAAUUUGCACUGGUCAAUGUUUCUGCAGGAGAUCCGGAUCCGCACCACGCUAACAGGUGGUUCGCCAUCUGCUGUGGCCGAUACUGUGUGCCACCGCUGGAGUCCUGGAAUUGUGGAUAAGAAGACAGAGGCUCGGACUGCGUGGAUAAUCAUGAUGAUGGUGUUAGUGUGGUGAACUGGAUGCUUUGCAUCACCACUCAGGCUCUUACACAAACAUCAGCUCUGUGGUGGCAGUGACAGCUGUACCGUUAGCCAGAACACCCACCAAACAGUCAGGUAUAAAGUCUACUAGCUCCUCAUCCUGGAGGUCACAUGAUAUGGCACGGCGGAUUUCGGGCCCAAUAUCAUGCAGCGUGCGGAGACCAGCCUGGAACCACGACAACACAGGAGAGCUAAGAACCGGG